ensembl:lncRNA
AUGAGUCAUCUAUCUAUAAUAUUGCUUUAUCCAUUAAAAAAGUUGUCUUGUCUGAAUCAGGAGAGAAAUAUAGAUCAAGAGGCCACAGGCUUUGGGCCCAUAUUUGAGGAGGAGCCCUUGGACACAGUGUAUGCGGAGGAUUCACCAGAGAACAAAAUCUCCAUGAACUGCAGAGCACAGGCCUACCCUCCGGCCAUUAUCAAGUGGUGGUUAAACAACUGGGAAAUUAAACUGAUGGAGCAACCUGAUGAGCACUUUAGCCUGGUGGGAGGAAACCUGGUCAUCACCAACCCAGACAAGAGCAAGCAUGCUGGGAAAUAUGUGUGUGUGGCUAAGAACGUGUACGGCACUGUCAUCAGCAAAGAGGCCACUGUCAAAUUUGGAUACCUAAACCAGUUCCCUACAGAUGAGAGAGAGCCGGUGCAUGUUAAGGAGGGACAAGGAGCAGUGCUGCUGUGUUCUCCUCCCUCUCGCUAUCCAAGUGAGGUGAUGUUCCGCUGGAUCUACAAUGACUUCCCAAACUUCAUCAUACCAGACCAGAGGCGUUUCGUGUCACAGACCACUGGCAAUAUGUACAUCGCUAAAGUCGAGGCAUCUGAUGUUGGGAAUUAUUCUUGUUUCGUGUCAAGCCCCACCAUCGGCAAGAGUGUUUUCAGCAUGCCGAUUUCUCUGAUUCCACAAAUAGAGAAGGAGGUGAAUCCGCUCCCACACAUCCGCUGGAGGAAGUUAGACGCUGAUCUCCCGCCCAACUAUGAGGUCAGCAUGAAUGGAGCUUUACUGCACCUGAUUAACGUUCAGUACGAGGAUGAAGGGAGCUACGAGUGUGAGACGCUCAACGUUAAAGGGAUGGACUGGUAUCGACAGUGGCUCUAUGUGACCUACCUGAAAUUCUGCAUUGCGCAUACGAUGGAUACUUUACUAUCCCAUGAGAAAGAUGUUGGUAGCGAACUCACUCUCAGGUGUGUUGCCGUGGGGAAGCCUUUACCAUGGAUACGCUGGCUGAAGGAUGGCUAUUCGUAUGGCAAAGGGGAGCUGAAGUUCUCCAGUCUCACGUUUGAGGAUUCGGGCAUGUAUCAGUGUAUUGCUGAGAAUGAAUGGGGGACCAUCUAUGCUAGCGCGGAGCUUCGGGUUGUCUCCUGUGCACCAACAUUCAUUUAUAAUCCAGUGAAGAAGGUUCUGCUCGGGGCUGAAAACGGUCGUGUGGUUAUAGAGUGCAAACCCAGCGCUGCUCCUAAACCCAAGUUCAUCUGGAAACGAGGCUCAGAGCUGCUGACCAACUCUUCAAGGAUGUUAAUUUGGGAUGAUGGAAGUCUGGAGAUUCUGAACGUGUCAAAAAGUGACGAGGGCUCGUACACAUGCUAUGCUGAGAAUGACCGCGGCAAAUCCAACAGCACAGGGACCCUCACUAUCACCGAGGCCACCAAAAUCACAGAGGCUCCAUCAGACACUGAGGCAGUUGUAGGUGACACUACAAUUCUCCAGUGUUCUGCAUCAUUUGAUCCCAGCCUGGACAUCACCUUUAUCUGGACUGUUGAUUCCUACGUCAUCAACUUCUACACAGACUUUGAACACUACGAGCUGCUCAUGGGUGACGAGAACAGCGGAGACCUGCUGAUCAAGAACAUCCAGGUGAGGCACGCAGGACACUAUUCCUGCACAGCUCAGACCAUAGUGGACAAUGCCACCGCAGAAGCUGAUGUUUUUGUCAAAGGUCUGCCUGGUCCUCCAGGUGGUGUCCGUGUGGAAGAGAUUGGAGACACGUCAGUAAAACUACGAUGGAGUCUGGGAUCAGACCACGGUAGUCCUUUUAUCCAACAGGUUGUACAAACACGAGACUUUUACGCCCUGGAUCCUGAGGACUGGAAAACCGCAUCCACCUCUCCUGUGUUUUUGGACGGAUCUACAGAGUCAGCCACCAUAGUUGACCUUUACCCCUGGAUGCAAUAUGAAUUCCGUGUGCAUGCAAUCAAUGAAUUUGGAGCUGGGGAAAACAGCCGUCCGUCCAUCAAAAUCAAGACAUGGGACGCCAGGCCUACAGUAGCUCCUUCUGAUGUACUGGGGCAAGUUGGAAUAAGCGGAGAGCUUAUCGUGACCUGGACUCCUGUAAAGCCUCAGUUCUUCUUUGGUAAAAAAUUUGGCUACGUCGUGGCGUUUAAGCAGCAUGAGGAUUCUGAAUGGAAGUGGACGACUGUGGAGGAUCCCGAGACUAGACGCUACGUCUACAAAGAUAGCAUGACCCCAGACACUGAGAUACAGGUCAAAGUGAAAACCUACAAUAACAAAGGAGAAGGACCCUCAAGUCUUAUAUCAGUGGUCGACUCACCAAGGCUAGCACCCACUGAAGCUCCAUUAGAUGUCUACGCCCGCCAGGUCACCGCUACAGAAGCUUUGGUCUGGUGGUUACCGAUCUACCAGAUUCGUUACUGGAGGAAGUACGAUGAUAAUGAAGCUGCUGCCUCUCGAGUUCUUGUGCAUAGAGCAAUUAACCAAACUCGCCUGGAGAACAUGCGGCCUGACUCCCACUACCUCAUAGAGGUACGAGCGUUCAACGGAGCUGGGCUCGGGCCACCCAGCGAGCAUUGUGAAAUGUUCACCAGGAGACCACCCCCAAGUCGCCAUUUGAGAGUCUACAAAUAUGUCAGCUUUAAUCGCAAAUGGCUCUAUCUAUAUUGGGAUCACAUCUAUAACUACUGGAAUGAGUCAUAUGUGGAGGGAUACAAGAUUUUGUUCAGGAAGGAAGGAGAGCGUUAUGGGAAGCUUUACACCACAGGCAGACACUACAUUGACUUUCCCAUGCCAGAGACAGGUGAUUACAUCAUAGAGGUCCGAGCCCGCUGCGAGGGAGGUGAUGGACCCAUAUCACAGAUCAGAGUGCAAGCCGCUUUGGGUGCUGAAUCUCUCAGCGUCGCCUCUGUCUUGCUGCUGGCACUGGGAUGGAUGAAUUUAGGCCUGUAG